rnacentral:rRNA from 1 species
CCUACGGGGGGCUGCAGUGGGGAAUAUUGGACAAUGGGGGGAACCCUGAUCCAGCCAUGCCGCGUGUGUGAAGAAGGCCCUCGGGUUGUAAAGCACUUUCAGUGAGGAAGAACGCCUGGUGGUUAAUACCCAUCAGGAAAGACAUCACUCACAGAAGAAGCACCGGCUAACUCCGUGCCAGCAGCCGCGGUAAUACGGAGGGUGCGAGCGUUAAUCGGAAUAACUGGGCGUAAAGCGCGCGUAGGUGGCUUGAUAAGCCGGUUGUGAAAGCCCCGGGCUCAACCUGGGAACGGCAUCCGGAACUGUCAAGCUAGAGUGCAGGAGAGGAAGGUAGAAUUCCCGGUGUAGCGGUGAAAUGCGUAGAGAUCGGGAGGAAUACCAGUGGCGAAGGCGGCCUUCUGGACUGACACUGACACUGAGGUGCGAAAGCGUGGGUAGCAAACAGGAUUAGAUACCCUAGUAGUC